rnacentral:rRNA from 1 species
GACGAACGCUGGCGGCGUGCUUAACACAUGCAAGUCGAACGGAAAGGCCCUGCUUUUGUGGGGUGCUCGAGUGGCGAACGGGUGAGUAACACGUGAGUAACCUGCCCUUGACUUUGGGAUAACUUCAGGAAGCUGGGGCUAAUACCGGAUAGGAGCUCCUGCUGCAUGGUGGGGGUUGGAAAGUUUCGGCGGUUGGGGAUGGACUCGCGGCUUAUCAGCUUGUUGGUGGGGUAGUGGCUUACCAAGGCUUUGACGGGUAGCCGGCCUGAGAGGGUGACCGGCCACAUUAGGACUGAGAUACGGCCCAGACUCGUACGGGAGGCAGCAGUGGAGAAUAUUGCACAAUGGGCGGAAGCCUGAUGCAGCAACGCCGCGUGCGGGAUGACGGCCUUCGGGUUGUAAACCGCUUUCGCCUGUGACGAAGCGUGAGUGACGGUAAUGGGUAAAGAAGCACCGGCUAACUACGUG